rnacentral:rRNA from 1 species
UUUCCCAGUCACGAUAGAGAGCCCACAUCAAAGGAACUCGGCAAAAUGCUCCCGUAAGUUCGCGAGAAGGGAGCCCGGCUUGUAGGCAACUAUGGGCCGGGGGCACAAACUAGGGGGUGGCGACUGUUUACUUAAAACACAGGGCUGUGCGAAGCCGUAAGGCGACGUAUACAGUCUGACGCCUGCCCGGUGCUGGAAGGUUAAAAGGAGGGGUGCAAGCUCCGAAUUGAAGCCCCAGUAAACGGCGGCCGUAACUAUAACGGUCCUAAGGUAGCGAAAUUCCUUGUCGGGUAAGUUCCGACCUGCACGAAUGGCGUAACGAUCUCCCCGCUGUCUCUGAUGUGGACUCAGCGAAAUUGAACUGUGUGUCAAGAUGCACACUUCCCGCGGUUAGACGGAAAGACCCCAUGAACCUUUACUCCAGCUUUGCACUGGCAUCAGGAUUGUGAUGUGCAGGAUAGGUGGUAGGCAUCGAAGCAGAGACGCCAGUUUCUGUGGAGCCUCCCUUGAGAUACCACCCUUCGCACUCUUGAUGUCUAACCGCGGCCCGUCAUCCGGGUCCGGGACCAUGCAUGGUGGGGAGUUUGACUGGGGCGGUCGCCUCCCAAACAGUAACGGAGGCGCGCGAAGGUUGGCUCAGACCGGUCGGAAAUCGGUCGUUGAGUGCAAUGGCAGAAGCCAGCCUGACUGUAAGACUGACAAGUCGAACAGAGACGAAAGUCGGCCAUAGUGAUCCGGUGGUCCCAAGUGGGAGGGCCAUCGCUCAACGGAUAAAAGGUACUCUGGGGAUAACAGGCUGAUGAUGCCCAAGAGUCCAUAUCGACGGCAUCGUUUGGCACCUCGAUGUCGGCUCAUCUCAUCCUGGGGCUGGAGCAGGUCCCAAGGGUAUGGCUGUUCGCCAUUUAAAGAGGUACGUGAGCUGGGUUUAGAACGUCGUGAGACAGUUCGGUCCCUAUCUGCCGUGGGUGUAGGAGACUUGAGAAGAGUUGCCCCUAGUACGAGAGGACCGGGGUGAACGAACCACUGGUGGACCAGUUAUCGUGCCAACGGUAGUGCUGGGUAGCUAUGUUCGGACAGGAUAAACGCUGAAGGCAUCUAAGCGUGAAGCCCCCUUCAAAACAAGGUCUCCCUUGAGAGCCGUGGAAGACCACCACGUCGAUAGGCCAGAGGUGUAAGUGCAGCAAUGCAUUCAGCUGACUGGUACUAAUUGCUCGAUUGGCUUGAUUUG